AGGCUAAUGAUGAUAAUUUUAAAUUAUCUUAGCGGAUUUCAGUGAGAUUGUGCUGUCAAUGAUGUGCUUGUUACUCACAUGAGGCCU